AGACUCCACCUUGGCGGGAUGUGCAGGUGAAGUGCUCCAGCUCUGAGGACGAAUCCUGGAAGAGAAAACCUGAUCCCAGGGCAUGAAGAAGGAGGAAAAGGAUGCAGGAAAGAAUUUAAGAGGCAAAGUGGAUGUGAUAAAGGAACGAGAAGAUCAUGAGAAAAGAUGAAAAAGAGAACAGUGACUGACCCAUGUCAUGAAGCAUCAGUUUCUAAACUUUGCUGUAUGCAGGCUCAAUGUGACGCACGGUGGGUGGUUACCAUGGCAUAGGAAAACAUUGCCAGCGCUGGCCCUGUCGUCAUGGAACCCCUGGGCCAUCUCCUGAGAAACUUGGUUGGAAUAAAUGCAGAUGCUGCAAAUUGAUGGAGGCCUGGUGUCUUCCAGAGUGGAGGUAAAGGCUGGCUGAGGAAUCAGUGAGGCCAGGAAGAGGGCUCAGCUGAGCAACUGAUCAAAGCAUCCCUCUUCAGGAAGGAGCUUCCUGUGUUUUCUCUGGGAACUCACCUGUUUUCCACUCCAGACUCUCCAAGAUAUGCAGAGCUUUGGGCCAGGAUCCUACAGCCACGGGUCAUGCAGAGCCAGUUGGCCACAUCCUUUGGGCCAAAUUUGGUCCUAACCAGGUCUUACCACGGUAACUGCUAACCAGUCCAUCUUCAGUUAAUAUUUCAUGCGUAAGAUGUUUCAUGAAGUAACUGAAUGGGCUAAUGGGUUGUUCACUGGAUAAGACUCCCAGAUACUCCCUUUCAUGCCAUUCCCCAGAAUUCCUUCACCUCCCAGUGCUGUCUGUAAGGGUGAAGAUACUCCAUUUUGCCCCAUGCUCUUUGCUGUGCCCCAGAUAGGCUCAAACAUUUUUCCCUUUUGGGGAUUUUGCAGGUAGGAAUUGUUGAACAUCUUACCAUUUAAUCCAGAAGUUAUGUCCUUUAAGGAAUCGACCCUGAGCCUGUGAGUUUUACUUUGGGUUGGGGGUGAAGGAGUGGACCUUGCAGCAUUCAAGGUCAUCCAAGAUCAUCCAGUUAAGGCCCCUAAGGUCACUACGGGGGGAAAAGCCUGGUGAGGGAAGAGAAAGCAUUAGGGGGAGCUGCACCGUGCUGAGAAAUAACACCACACAGAAGUCUGUGUUCUAAUCUCAGCUCUGCUUUGCAUUACUGUGUGACCUGGAGCUGAUCACAGCCCUCUGAGUCUUAAAGGGGUUGGACAAGGCCAACUAAACAUUAGAAACACCUGAAAGUGCUGGUUAAAAGGAAGAAUGCAUGAGCUUCACUCCAGAUUUACUAUAUCAGAAUUUCCAGGGUCAGGGUCCAAGAAUCUGCAUGUUUAAUACGCUUUCCACAUGAUUUUUCCCCCCUCUGGACUUAAGAAAACAAUGGGCAAGUCAGCUCAUGAAGAACUUUUCAGAUAUUCAGACUAUUAUUCUGAGAGAGAAAAUAUUGGCAGAGAACAGAUGGGAUUUUUCUCAAGGAAAAGAAAUGGAAAUCCUACAUCUUGCAAGAAAUAGAAAAAAAUAAAUAAACUGUUUGAAGAAGAAUCACAUCAGGCUGGCAGGAGAGAGCCUGCGGCUCGGUGUCUGACCCAGAAUGUUAAAGCCAGCCUGGCUUGGCUCCAGGAUAAAGGACACUCUGUCAGCCUCUCCACAUUGAUUCAUCUCCCCAGCCCCAAGAUCAGGAGAGCAUUCUGUUCCUUGAAGCAUUUUAUGACUGUAAGUCAGAAGUGCUGCAGUUUUAAUAAAAAGCUGUAUUGUCCUGAUCUUGUGCAAUAUACUGAACUAUCAUUUUCCAACUGUUGGCUUGCAUACUGGUUUGUGUGAGUAAGCCCGUCCAUCCACAUCACUAAAAGAUAGUAGUAGUAACAACAAUGAC
rnacentral:lncRNA from 10 species